UACAGAGGGGGCAAGCGUUGUUCGGAAUUACUGGGCGUAAAGGGCGCGUAGGCGGCCUGUUAAGUCGAACGUGAAAAUCCCCCGGGCUCAACCCGGGAACUGCGUCCGAUACUGGCAGGCUUGAAUCCGGGAGAGGGAUGCGGAAUUCCAGGUGUAGCGGUGAAAUGCGUAGAUAUCGAGAGGAACACCUGCGGCGAAGGCGGGUUGCUUGGGCUGAUACUGA
rnacentral:rRNA from 1 species